AGUGAACGCUGGCGGUAGGCCUAACACAUGCAAGUCGAACGGCAGCACAGUAAGAGCUUGCUCUUACGGGUGGCGAGUGGCGGACGGGUGAGGAAUACAUCGGAAUCUACUUUUUCGUGGGGGAUAACGUAGGGAAACUUACGCUAAUACCGCAUACGACCUACGGGUGAAAGCAGGGGAUCUUCGGACCUUGCGCGAUUGAAUGAGCCGAUGUCGGAUUAGCUAGUUGGCGGGGUAAAGGCCCACCAAGGCGACGAUACGUAGCUGGUCUGAGAGGAUGAUCAGCCACACUGGAACUGAGACACGGUCCAGACUCCGACGGGAGGCAGCAGUGGGGAAUAUUGGACAAUGGGCGCAAGCCUGAUCCAGCCAUACCGCGUGGGUGAAGAAGGCCUUCGGGUUGUAAAGCCCUUUUGUUGGGAAAGAAAAGCAGCAGGUUAAUACCCCGCUGUUCUGACGGUACCCAAAGAAUAAGCACCGGCUAACUUCGUG
rnacentral:rRNA from 1 species